rnacentral:lncRNA from 1 species
AAAAUGGAUGGAUGAGCUACACCUUGUCCAGGGCUGCUAAAAGAACUAAGAGAGAACAGGCAAGUCUCAACUCCACCUUGCCUAAGGCAAUAGAUAUAUUGCAAAUUCAUAAAAGAAUACUUUGUUCCAUCACCAUCUACCAUCAUACAUCUUAGAUUAUUGGCAAAUGGCCUAGUGUUAUGUGAAUAACCAUGUAAGUGAUUGGAACUUCUGGUCAAACGGGUACCAUGACUUCUUUACUCUCAAGAUGCUUUUCUUAUUUUUUAUAUAGGUAGAAUAAGAAAUCUUCAUUUCUGUCAGUCUCUGCAAUCCCUAACUUCUUGAAAGAAUCUGUACAAAAUGAAAAAAAAAAAAAGAAGUGGCCUUAUGUACCCCAAUCUGGAGAGAAAUACCCAGCUGAUCUCAAAAGAUAUAAGGGCUUCAAUGUUUCUAUUUGAAAUCUACAGAAAGCUGAGCCAAGUACAUGCAGCAAAUUUUAUUUUGGAUCCCCAGCUGGGAUAAUUCCGUGGUAAGCUAAAGAAUGAAAAGUCCAAUUCUUCUAAGGCUCAAUCAAAAUAUUCCGACUUUAAAACCAGGAAAUCAUCAAUGAAAAUAACAUAUUUGGAAUCAGUUAAAUGUAUUUAUUUUUUCCCCCUCAGCUCACCAUAUAUCAACAGAUCUACCUCUCACAAUAAAAUAGAAGGGAACCUGCCACAUUCUCCCAUCUCACUAUUUUAUAAAAUAAAAACCAAAUAGAA